rnacentral:ncRNA from 1 species
UGUUUGGAGAGUUUGAUCCUGGCUCAGGACGAACGCUGGCGGCGUGCUUAACACAUGCAAGUCGAACGGUGAUGCCCUGGCUUUUGUUGGGGUGGAUGAGUGGCGAACGGGUGAGUAACACGUGAGUAACCUGCCCCCUUCUUCUGGAUACCGCCACGAAAGUGGUGUUAAUACGGGAUAUUCUGGCUCUGUCGCAUGGUGGGGUUGGGAAAGGUCUU